rnacentral:snoRNA from 1 species
ACCCUCUCAGGAUGGCACCUGGAGAGUUUCCAGUACUCCAUCAGUCUCGGCUAUAGGAGGGAGAAUCAAGGAGAGGCAUAUCCAUUCCAUUCCUAGCUUGGGCAGUGGCUAGCAAGUGGAAGGCAAUCUGCUACGUGU